GCACUUAUUUCCUCACUAAGGAACUCUUUUUCUAAAAAAUAUGUCUUACUGCUGAUAAAUACCUUUUGUUUAGCAGAAAAGUAAAAGUAAUAAUCCUUCAUUUCCUUAGGGUAUCUUAUAAAAUUACACUUAUCGAAUCUAGGACUGAGCUUGUCAGUUUAUAAUCAUUUAAGAUAAGCCAGACACCCCCAGAUCUUAAAGUAAGAGAGGUUCGGCCUAUGCCAUGACCAUAUCUCAUAUGGUAUC
rnacentral:lncRNA from 1 species